rnacentral:rRNA from 1 species
GAUGAACGCUGGCGGCGUGCCUAAUACAUGCAAGUCGAACGCUGGAAAUCUAGCUUGCUAGAUUGAAGGAGUGGCGAACGGGUGAGUAAUACAUAAGCAACCUACCCACGAAGACUGGGAUAAUCUCUGGAAACGGGGACUAAUACCGGAUAGGUAAUCGGAAGGCAUCUUCUGAUUAUUAAAGGUUAAAAACACUGGUGGAUGGGCUUAUGGCGCAUUAGUUAGUUGGUGAGGUAACGGCCCACCAAGACGAUGAUGCGUAGCCGGCCUGAGAGGGUGAACGGCCACAUUGGGACUGAGACACGGCCCAGACUCCUACGGGAGGCAGCAGUAGGGAAUUUUCGGCAAAGGGGGAAACCCUGACCGAGCAACGCCGCGUGAGUGAUGACGGCCUUCGGGUUGUAAAGCUCUGUUGUAAGGGAAGAACGGUAGAUAGAGAAUAUCUAAAUGACGGUACCUUACCAGAAAGCCACGGCUAACUACGUG